rnacentral:hammerhead_ribozyme from 1 species
AUCCACAUGACGAGUCCCAAGUAGGACGAAAUGCGCAUCCUGGAU